CUGUAAGCAAUUAUCAGAGCCCGGAGAGAGAGCUGAGAACAGAGAACAGUGUCGACCCACUGAGAGGCAGCCAGAGGAGCAGGAUGACAUUCACUAUGCCAGUGUCAAGUUCUCCAACAAUCAGGCAGAUCCUGUUUACUCCAACAUCAGACCAGCUCGUCUCCAAAGACGUGAAGAGGAAGAAGAGGGUGUUGAGUAUGCUGCUGUCAAAUUUAACAGUGCCCCAAGAACCAGAGGUCAGGAAACAGAGGAAGACCCAGCUGCAUUAUACAGCACAGUCAACAAAGCCCGAUGAACACAACAGGAAUCUCUAGUCUACCUUUUUUAAAUUUUAAAGCAGGUAAUCAUUUGAUUUUUAGCUAUGCUACUGGCAUAGUUCUGGAGAUGGCAAUGUCAGUCGGUUGGUUGGUUUGUUGGUCCUAUUGGAACAGCAACUUAUGGUCCCCACAGGAUGAAUCCUACUAACUUUGGUGAUCCCCUGACAUCAACUCUAGUGCCACCAGCAA